UACUCCUACGGGAGGCAGCAGUGGGGAAUAUUGCACAAUGGGCGCAAGCCUGAUGCAGCGACGCCGCGUGCGGGAUGGAGGCCUUCGGGUUGUAAACCGCUUUUGUUCGGGGCAAGGCAGGCUUUCGGGCCUGUUGAGUGCAUUGUUCUAAUAAGCACCGGCUAACUACGUGCCAGCAGCCGAGGUAAU
rnacentral:rRNA from 1 species